AGAGUUUGAUCCUGGCUCAGGACGUACGCUGGCGGCGUGCUUAACACAUGCAAGUCGAACGAUGAAGCCCUUCGGGGUGGAUUAGUGGCGAACGGGUGAGUAACACGUGGGCAAUCUGCCCUUCACUCUGGGACAAGCCCUGGAAACGGGGUCUAAUACCGGAUAACACUCCUGCCUGCAUGGGCGGGGGUUAAAAGCUCCGGCGGUGAAGGAUGAGCCCGCGGCCUAUCAGCUUGUUGGUGAGGUAGUGGCUCACCAAGGCGACGACGGGUAGCCGGCCUGAGAGGGCGACCGGCCACACUGGGACUGAGACACGGCCCAGACUCCUACGGGAGGCAGCAGUGGGGAAUAUUGCACAAUGGGCGAAAGCCUGAUGCAGCGACGCCGCGUGAGGGAUGACGGCCUUCGGGUUGUAAACCUCUUUCAGCAGGGAAGAAGCGAAAGUGACGGUACCUGCAGAAGAAGCGCCGGCUAACUACGUGCCAGCAGCCGCGGUAAUACGUAGGGCGCAAGCGUUGUCCGGAAUUAUUGGGCGUAAAGAGCUCGUAGGCGGCUUGUCACGUCGGGUGUGAAAGCCCGGGGCUUAACCCCGGGUCUGCAUUCGAUACGGGCUAGCUAGAGUGUGGUAGGGGAGAUCGGAAUUCCUGGUGUAGCGGUGAAAUGCGCAGAUAUCAGGAGGAACACCGGUGGCGAAGGCGGAUCUCUGGGCCAUUACUGACGCUGAGGAGCGAAAGCGUGGGGAGCGAACAGGAUUAGAUACCCUGGUAGUCCACGCCGUAAACGGUGGGAACUAGGUGUUGGCGACAUUCCACGUCGUCGGUGCCGCAGCUAACGCAUUAAGUUCCCCGCCUGGGGAGUACGGCCGCAAGGCUAAAACUCAAAGGAAUUGACGG
rnacentral:rRNA from 1 species